rnacentral:rRNA from 1 species
ACUGAACGCUGGUGGCAGGCCUAACACAUGCAAGUCGAGCGGCAGCGGGAAAGUAGCUUGCUACUUUUGCCGGCGAGCGGCGGACGGGUGAGUAAUGCCUGGGAAAUUGCCCAGUCGAGGGGGAUAACAGUUGGAAACGACUGCUAAUACCGCAUACGCCCUACGGGGGAAAGCAGGGGACCCUCGGGCCUUGCGCGAUUGGAUAUGCCCAGGUGGGAUUAGCUAGUUGGUGAGGUAAUGGCUCACCAAGGCGACGAUCCCUAGCUGGUCUGAGAGGAUGAGCAGCCACACUGGAACUGAGACACGGUCCAGACUCCUACGGGAGGCAGCAGUGGGGAAUAUUGCACAAUGGGGGAAACCCUGAUGCAGCCAUGCCGCGUGUGUGAAGAAGGCCUUCGGGUUGUAAAGCACUUUCAGCGAGGAGGAAAGGUUGAUGCCUAAUACGUAUCAACUGUGACGUUACUCGCAGAAGAAGCACCGGCUAACUCCGUGCCAGCCGCCGCAGUAA